rnacentral:rRNA from 1 species
UACGUAGGCAGCAAGCGUUGUUCGGAAUUACUGGGCGUAAAGAGUGUGUAGGCGGUGCUGUAAGUCUGGUGUGAAAUCUCCCGGCUCAACUGGGAGGGUGCGCCGGAAACUGCAGUGCUUGAGGGUGGGAGAGGUAAGCGGAAUUCCUGGUGUAGCGGUGAAAUGCGUAGAUAUCAGGAGGAACACCUGUGGUGUAGACGGCUUUCUGGACCAUAGCUGACGCUGAGACACGAAAGCGUGGGUAGCAAACAGG